AGAUGUGAGGGUGAUCUAGCAGCGACAUCUGUCACCCCGUUGGUCCCCAGGGUUGAUCCGGCUGAUCUGGCUGGCUAUGUGGGUGACCUCUUCCUCCCUUGAGGCUCCGUGCAUGUCCCUUCUGCAGCUGUGUGCUCGGUCAAAGAGCACGACCACGCUGAUAGAGGAGGACCGUUCCUCGGUCAAGGCAUACAAGUAGCUGCGCUCCCCUGCUAAACCUCCCAACAAGCUGCCGAAGUGACUGUACCAAUUUGAAUACCCAACAACCACUGCAGGAGAGUUCCAGUUGCUUCAUACCUUCACCAAUAUUUUAUGGU
rnacentral:snRNA from 1 species